rnacentral:tRNA from 1 species
GCGCCUGUAGCUCAAGGUGGAUAGAGCAGUGGACUUCGAAUCCAAUGGUUGCGGGUUCGAGUCCCGCCGGGCGCG